ACUGUGAGUCUGAGGCUGCCCACCUCUGACUUGAAUCUUUUGGGACCUGUUCAAAGCUUCCUGCUUUUUUUUUUUUUUUUUUUUUUUUUUUUUUGCCAUACCGGGUGAGGAGGGCAGGAGAAGAGAGGGAGACAGCAGUAUCUUGAAGACUUGAGCCCCAACGUGGCUUCUUCCUGGCUGUGCAAACAUGGGAGGAGUCUUUUGUCUUCUCUGGGCUUUCUCUGUAAUUUGAGCCUCCUCAAUGACAACAAAGCCUAUCAACUCCCCAUGCCCUUCGCCUUGGCUUCAAAGAGGUACAGAGACGCGCUCAGCUUGAGAGCAGGUGAACAGCUCGCACAAUCCCUGUGCCACAGUGUGGGGCAUGAACAUCAGCUCUCUCGCAUGCGCAGAACCUGUCAGGAAAAGAAGCAGAGGUAGAAGGUUUGGAGUAAACACUGCCAUCCGUGGAAUCCAUUUGGUGCUACCUCCCUAUCCACUUUCUGCCAUCAUGCACUGUCACCUAGAAACUUCCCUUUGCCUCUCUGAGACUCAGUUUCCUUCUCUGGAAAGUAUUAUAGUUCCUAGCACUGUAUCAAAUGCUCCAUCUGGAGAAUCUCAUUUGCCCUCAAGUCUGUGAUGAGGUAGGCGCUUUAGUCCUAGCUUCUACAUGAAGACAUCAACUGACAGUCACGUAGAUAGUUCUAGUGUUGGCUUACAGACAAUUCCACUAGGCUCAGACCGACAGCUACCUAGCGACAGCUAGCCUAGUGGCUUGCCCGCUGUGAGCCAGGUGUCUAAGAGGGACUGCUAGGUUACUCCAAUUCUCUCUCCCCCUUAUCUCCCAUUCUCUGUCUCCUCUCCUUCUCUCUCUUCCUCUCCUGUCCAUCGCUUCCUCCCUCCCCCCUUUUCUCUUUCCAUCUUCCUUCUCUCUCUGUUCUCAUGUGUUUCUGGUCAGCUUCUUCCUCUCUCCCUUUUCUCUCUCCUUCCUUCUCCGUCUCCCCAUCUCUGCCGCUGUCCCUUUCUAGGCCCUGCUCCUUUCCCCUGAAAAAAAUCUUUAUUUUAGGUUUGUUGCCCAUGGUGAGAUUCCUUGGGGAAACAUUUUGCAGGGCCUGCUGAGGGGCUCCCUUCCACUGUAAUUAUACAACAUUAUAAAACACAAUAAGUCUAUAACAUUUGAAACCAAGUCUUUGAAACUCAAGACCUAUAUUGCAGGACUUUCAGGAGUCCUCUCCGUUUAUAAGACACCGAGAUCUCUGCAUUGUCACUGCUCUGCUUCUAUCUUACCAUCCUUCUGCCCCAGCCGAAGCAGCCAGCUCUUUAAAAGGAAAAGCCACGUUCCUUUCUGAAUCAAAAAGGCUGUUAGCAUCCUGGAAGAACUUCCCCAGUUCACUCAUUCGGAGCCAAUCAACAACAGGACGAUCUUAGCGUUACCUUUUGGCCAGAUUGAGAGCAGUGUGACCUUCUGGGAGCUCCCCAGGGCAGCUUGCUUUUUAACAUGGAAUCUCAGAGAAUCCUUUUUUUGGGCAGGUGAGGAAGUAACCAACAUUUACAUAUCCUGCCAGCCCCGGGUGCUGCCAGCACAACAAUUAGCAAUUGAGAACACAGGGCACAGCCACAGAACCAUUUGAUAUUCUGUCAUCCCAACAAAGACCCAAUAAUCCCCACCUCUACCCACUGUAGCUCCUAAGUGCUGACUCCUGUCAGUUACCCAAGCAGACACUGUAAUGUUAGCUCAAGCCAUCAACUAGGAUAAACCCCACACACCUUAAGAUUAAGAUUUAGGAGUCAAUAAAGAGGUCUCAGAUUUUGUUUGUAAGUGACAUGUCUAGACAAUUUAGUUUAUUCUUCAACAGUGACGGAAGGCAACGCGAAUUGCUGUGUCAGAAAAACUCAGAGACUUCAAUAGCUUAAAACAAUCACGUACGAUGUCUAACUCACCGAAUAAGGGGCACCAGCAUGUCCCUGUGAUAGAGGAAAGGAGGGCUACAUCAGCCAGACUCUCACAUGCCUCAGCCUACCAUCUUAUUAGUCACCACUGGUCAUGUGCCCCCCUUCAGCUUACUGGGAGGUUGGGGACACAGGAGAAUGCACGGAUUCUAGGUUUGGCCAUAGCCUGCCUUAUUAGGUCCAGGUCCUCACGCACUCUGUGUUCUCUGGGGGCUGAUGGAGAAGCCAGGCUGAGAUGUCCUUCAAAGGCUUGAAUAAGUAGAGUAAUGCCAGGGUAGCUCAGAUAGAAAGAGAACUGAGUAGGAAAAGCACAGAUUUCCAGUUGAGAAUAUUCUUUCUAAGUGAGAUUGUGUAAGGGUCUGAAAAUGGUGAAAGGAAGACCCCAGACUCAGAUAGAGUCCAAAGACAAAGAGCAUUCCGCAGAAACAGCCAGCAUGCGGGGGUCAACCAUUCUCUAAAAUAGGGACCCCAGAAAAAAGCAAGCAGACUACUUUAUAGGGAACAGGGGGAACUCUCUUGAAGGAUUAGGUAAUGUAAAAUUUCAUUGGUGGGUGCUGGGGGAGUCACAGGUGAUCAGUGGUCUACAUUCCUAUGUCAUGAGCAUUCAACCAUGUGAUGAAAUAGGGCUGCCCAUUGUAGAUGGUCCAUCCCGAGAUAAGAUAUUUCCCUAUUUUUGUGCUUAUCCCCAGGCUGUUCUUUGGGAGGGGGCUUUAUGAUCUUGUUCUGGAUUUUAUGGUCUGUUCCUGGAGCUGGUGCCUUAUGACUUAGUUUCUGGGAUUUAUGGUCUAUUCUUGAAGCUGGUGCCUUUUUGAAAUCAGACCUGCCCUUAAAAUGGAGACAGACAAAGGGGGUUUAUACUGUCCUUUCAAUUGCUAAUUUAAUCUUAUUUUGUCAUAUAGGACUAUAAUGAACGUUGAGGAAUUUCCUUCCACCCCAUCCAUCCCAGUUUUCCUUUUUCCACAUGUCCCUUUGUUUCCCCAGAUAACUCCAUUUUUACUUUCACUUCAUAAAUACUACUAUGAUUUAUAUAAGAUCUGGGGCCCCAAAAUCAGAAAAAAAUGAAGAAUAUUUGUCAGAGAUUGGCUUACUUAGCUCUCUGUGAGCUAAUUCUCUCCAGUUGUCCGAUUUUCUUACAAAUGAUUUACUGUUUGAUUUCAGACCCCGGGACAAGGGACUAAGAGGCAUAUUUUACAUAUCAAAGCAGACCUCGAUUCCAGGUUCUCCCAGCAUCCCUCAGUCCCAACCUGGCAUACCUUGCCUCCAACCCUGAACCCAGAGGCUGGGCUGCCCUUCCCCUGAGAGGCUUUUGCCUAUAUAAUCUAGACAUUUUAGGCUCGCUCUCUUUCUCUUCCUCUUACCUCUCUCACGCUCCCUCUUUCCUCUCUCCAAGUGCACAGUGAUCUUUCUCUUUCUGCCCCCUCUUCUCUCUUUCUUCCCAUGUGGACUUCCUGGCCUCCUCCCUUGGAGUCAUUGAACUUACCUGCCUUAAAGCAGCUUCCCAGUAAACCUGCAUUUAAUAUUUUCUAAUGUAGCUUGAAUUGACUCAUUUCACCGGCAGCAGAGAAAUAGCUAUCAGAUGGUCCCGAAUGGGUAAGUCUGUCAUUUUAAUGGACACAUAGGCCAUUUAGAUUACAGUAUAUCCUUCUGAGGUCUCUGGAGAGUUUGAAUACUAAGCAAGUGAAAGAAGGGAAUUUUUCAGUUCCUUUAGAUAAAAGAGCUCAGUCUGUAAUGACUGAUCCCAGUGAUCCACCACCUGUGUCUCAUGAUGAACAAUUUGGAUAGGAAAAGGUGUAAGGUUUAACGUUUAUAUCUGAGGAUAUGAAAGCUUCUGAGAAAAUGUUGGAGGGUUUAGGUGUUUGGUAAUGGAAGUUAUGAAGGUUAGAGGAUGUGAAAAAUUUAGAUGGUGGUAGGAAAGUGAUAAUCUUUUUGUAAACUUAAUUCUUGUAAGCUUCAGGGAAUCCACUUAAAUUUGCCUCCCACAUUCACAGGGACUACAGAUGAGUACUGUCAAUUGGCUGCCUGUUUCUCUCCCUCCCUGCCUGUUCCUGAGGGUGGCAUCUAUCCUCCUUUCCUUGGACCUGGGACCAAACCCCUCCUUCAGCUCCUAAGACCAUGGGCCUAAGAGUUUCAAAUAUAUACCCAAGAAAAAAGUUUUCUCCCUAAACUCCUUUAACUUUACCUUCUACCCCUAACAUCCAGAUGUUUCCUUGAAGUCUGAGUUACCCACGGGUGCCUCGGUCUAGACGAACAGACUGCUUCACCUGGGCCUGCAUACUACCACCCUCAGAUGUCCCACCACUUGGAGAGCAGUGAAACCACCAGCCCUUCCAGGACUUGACCAACAUUGCAGAUUUCGCCCCACCCCAUAGCGGUGCCUCAGUGUCAGCAGGAAGUAGUCAUAGAUGAUUAUGUCUCUCCUUAUUCAUUUAUUAUCAAUAAAACGUUAGAGUGUUUGGUUUCAGACCCUGGGACAAGAGACCGAAGUUCAGAUCUAAGCAGACCUGGCUUCCAAGUUCUCCCAGCAUCCCUCAGUCCCCAUCUGGCAUACCCUGCCCCCAACCUUGAACGUUCCAGCCCAGGGACGGGGCUGCCCGUCCCCCAGAGCUCCCUUUCAUUAGGUUUCUCUCUCUCUCUCUCUCUCUCUCUCUCUCUCUCUCUCUCUCUCUCUCUCUCUCCCCCUCUCUUCCCCACUCUCCCCCAUGCUCCCCUUUCUCUGCCCUCCUCCCCAUGGUGACUUCCCUGACCUUGGUCCUAGAAGCCGAUGAACUCGCUCACCCGAGACCAACUUCCCAAUAAACCUGUAUUCAAUGGAAUCUAAUCUGGUUUGAAUUGGCUCACUUCGCUUGUGUGGGCAUGAUUUAUCAUUUGCCUUCAUUCUUGUUUAUGGGUGAAGUUUCAUUGCCUAUGUGUGUACCUGCUUUCUUUAUCCCUUCCUCUGUUGGUGCAUACCUACAUUGGUUCAUUACUUAGAGCCUGGUUCCUCUCAGACUGAGUCACUGAAGCAUGCCUCUCUGCCCUACGCACCAUUCAGUUCAUCUCUGAGAACUCUUGGGACAGUGAGAGCCAGAGUAAGAAACUGAGUUUGGAAAUGGACAGAGAGGUAAAAGCAUCUGUCGGGAAUUAAGAUCAGUGACGACUGCUCACUCAUUUUGGGAACUAGAAGGAUUUUGAUUCUUUUCAUAAUCUGUUUGGAAGACGGGAAUGUCCCUCUGCUCAGCCCACGGUCAUCAGUGACUGGCCACCCUGUACUUGGGUAGGCACCUCAUUCAAAAGAACCUAUCUGAAGCUGAAAGUGUCCUUCAGGAUUGGGAGAAACUACGUGAUUAAAAAGAAAGUUUAAUUCUGGAAGUUUGAACAAGGACCAAAGAAACCUCUAAAAACCCUUUCGGGUGACUUGGUCUUCAAAGAACACGGACACAUGCCAGCUGGGCUUUCUCUGUCUGGAGACUGACAACGCCUUUGCCUUUUUAAUUUCUCAGAACUUUCCUUAUUUCUGAAUGGUUCAAAUUAAAAGAAAGGGGAAAUAAGAGAACGCCAUUUGAGAUACUAGUGUAACCUCCAGAGGGCAGUAACUUUUCAAACUUUCCAGAAAGCUGCUCGAAAUGUAUUUUCCUAGAUUAAGAAAUAUUCUUCUCCUAUAGAUGCAGUAAUUCCACUUCAGAAAUUUAUCCCAAGGAAAUAGUCACACUGAGAACAAAUUAGACAUAUACAAGGAAUCUCAAGAAGGCAUUAUUUGUUAUAAUGAGACUCUGGCAAUAAUCUACACGUUCAAUAGGAGAAUAAAAAGGUGAUUAUGGUAUAACCAUAUGACAAUACUAUUCAGCUAGUUAAAAUAAUGCUUUGGAUCCUUUUUGUGAAGCAGGCAAGGCUGGCUGAGCUCUGCAGCUUAUGAGCUAUGUAAAAGAGACACAUGCUAUACGGUGACAAUAGCAUUCAAACCAUAAUAAACUGGAAGGAUUACUCUUGGUGUUUAUAUCUUUAUAUAUUCCUUGUCAUUAAUGCUUUCUUCAAUAUGCCUAUAUUGUUUUUCUAAUUUACCAAAGAGCAAGUUAGAACCAUACCUAUUUGGAGGUGUCUUUGCAUGUUGUUGUAAAAAUAUAAAAAUAAAAAAAGUAUAGUUGUCUUUUACCUUAGGUCCGCACCGCAGUGCCUCAAGAUAUCUGCUAGACAUCUUGGAAACGCAUCCCAACUCCGUGGUGGCCCAGUGUCUCUUGCCGAUACAUACUUUCCUACACUCAAACCGUCACAUAAAAGAACACACAACACAAUAAUCUUUGACUCAAUUGGUAAGAUAUAAUUGCCCACCUAAAUAUACAAAACCAAGUACCAUCCAUCCCUUAAGAACAUUUGUAACAACCUAUAAAGGUACAGUGUGGAAUCUUUUUUUUUCUUUUUUUCGGAGCUGGGGACCGAACCCAGGGCCUUGCGCAUGCUAGGCAAGCACUCUACUGCUGAGCUAAAUCCCCAACCCCUACAGUGUGGAAUCUUAACAUGACCUGCCAUAUUGUCAGGCCACGGCUUCUCUCCUUCUCCUCCUGUCUCUUCCUCCUUUCUGUUCCAGUCUCCUCCCUUCCUUCAAACUUCUCUCCUGCCCAUCCUUCCUUUUCCUCUAAUGACAGGCCUCCUUCUAUCCUGUACCUGCCCCUCACCUGUGUUUUACAAAUUCAAUGGGGAGAAGUUUCUGGUGAAGUCACCUGAUUCCUGGGUACUGACUAGGCAACUAUCCUUGGGGCAGUGGAAUUAGCAUCAAAAUACAGAUAACUCCAGGGCAAACCACAACAUUUGCAUGCCUAGAUUACAUCUGAAAGGCCUCAGCCAGGAACUUUCUUUGUGCAGUGGAAGGUGAUUAACUCUGUAGCUCACUACUAGUCAAAGGGCAAAGAAUAAGAAUCUGCAUUGUUCAGCCACUGAGAUGGCACCUAUCUCCGCCCUCCAAGGCCCAGGGAUAGGAAGAGUGAGAGGUGGGAUAGGAAGACUGAGAGGUGAAGGUUAUAACAGGACCAAAACAUUCAUGAACGCACAGCAGCUGUGGCUACCUGCAUCAGUUCAAGCCUGUCAGCACCCCAGUUUGUGUGGGGAAGGAGCCCAUGAGCCCCCACUCCUAACUGAGGAGCUACUGGCAGUUGAUGGCUUCUGGGGAAGAGGGAGACAGUUUAAUUUAUGGGUGUGACACAUGCUUGGUUGACAGUGCUUCAGCACAUGCCUGAUACAGGUUUAUAUUGGUAGUAUAAAUUUGAAUUAAUGGGCUAUAAAGAAAAAGAGGACAGAGUUGAGGGCAUAGGGCUGGAGAGGGCGUCAAUAUGAUCAAAUAUAUGGUGUAUAUGUUGAGAUUCUCAAAAAUUAAUACUACCUUAAAAAUACAUAUUUAACUUGAAAAGACAAAUUCUAUUUCUUUUGUUGAAAUGCUGGCCAUGGAACAUUGUAGGCAACUACUCUACUACAUAGUAGGCAAAAACCCCACUGAUACUGAAUUAGGGAGCCUACCUAGGUCUAAACUAUGUCCUCUUUAUUUAUAUGUUAUAGUAGUGAACCUUGAUGUUUUGGUAGGACUCCUAAUAGUGGGAGUAAGGACUGUUUAUGGUGUUUUUGUCUACUUUUGCAACCAUUGUCCUCCUUCUUGGUCGGUCACCUCAUGCAGCUUUAAUAUGAGGGGUAGUGCCUAAUCUAAUUGCAACCUGAUACCCCACCUUUGGUUGAUAUCCCUGGGAGGCGUGUUCUUUUUUUGAGGAGAAAUUGAGGAGGAAUGGAGGGAAGAAAGAAGGUAGAAGGGAUGGAGGAGGUGGGGAACCUAAGGAGGAAGGAUUUAGUGGUUUGAAUAGGAAUGGCCCUAUAGACUCAUGUGUGUGAAUGCUUGGCCCAGUACCAGGAGUGGGGUAUUGGUUGCAGUGAUAGACCUGACCAUGUUUUUGUUUGGAGCAAUGUGAAUUUUGGAAUUCUGGAUUAGGAAAGCCAUGGAUGCUUUAAAUGGGACUUAAUGGGACUUCCUAGUAGAAAUAUGGAAGACAUUAAUGCUGAAGGUGAUUGAACUGUGGGGGCCUGACUCAAAUGGUUUCAGAGAAGGAUCUGAGUAUGUUGCCUAGAGACUAUUUUCAUGAUAUUUUGAUAAAGAAUGUAACUGCUUUUUGCUCCUGUGUAAAAAGUCUGUCUUAGGCUUAAGUGAAGAGUUUUGGAAUAAUUCUGUUAGCAGAGGAAAUUUCAAAACAGCCUAGUAUUGACUCUGUUGUGUGGUUAUUUGUGUUUGGCCUUAUGAAGAUUUAUAAUGAAAAGGAGCAAGUUGAACAAGUAAAAACACAAAAGAUACAGAUUGAAGAGAAAAGGGAUACCAAAAAGUAGAACAGAGUUAAGUCCUGUGUUCAAGUAGAAAAACAGAUUAAGAAAUGGAAAAAGGGGAGUGAUGACCUCAGGGAAAGACCCUUCUCAACUAAGCUUACAACUUAUGAAAAGCUUUGGUCCAGGUAUGGUGGUGUACAUCUUUAAUCCCAGCACUCAGGUGACAGAGGCAAGCAGAUCUCUGAGUUCAAGGCCCACAGAGCCUACAGAGCAAGGCUUCAGUUGAGGGUCUACAGAGCAAGUUCCAGAGUACCUAAGCUUAUACAGUGUAAGAAACCAUCAAAAACUGAAAGCUGGUGAUGAUGUAAUUGAACAAGGGGCCCAUGUUCCAUCCUGGGCAAGCAGCAGAACUUGACAGUUUCAGCCACAUGGUUCUGGCUUUAGACUCAAGGAUAGAAGAAAAGAGUUAUGGGAUCUCUCUUCACAACUGAGGAAAGCUAGUGAGCCCAAGCAUAUGUUAGGGGUAUCCUUUUAUGGAGACCCAGAGAAACCAUUGUGUGAAGCUGAGAAGGUGAAGCCUGGAUUGACUUAGUGACCCCAAGAUAUUGGAGAUGCCAGAGCCAUGGGAUACCUAUUGAGGAAAGCUGCUGACAUGAAGUGGAGCCAGUUGAAGAGAAAGAAGUGUGUUGCAAUCAACAAACCUGAAAAGAGUUGGAGAUCCGAAGAGCAUUUUGACACCAGACACGGAGAUAAAUAGUUUAGAGUUUGCUCAGUCGUCUUUAGUCUUGCUUUUUCAGUAUUUCUCACUCUACUCCCUUUUGGAAUGGUCAUGUAUAUCCUGUACCACUGUAUGUUGGAAAUAUAUGAUCUGCUUUUUCAUUUUUACUUUACAGAAGAUUACAGUUAAGAGAUUAUAUAAUCUCAGAAGAGACUUUGAACUUUAGACUUUUAAACAGGGUUGAGACUACUAAAGAAUAUGGAUUCUUUUGAAGUUGGACUGAAUGCAUUUCUAAAAUGUGGUACGGCUACAAGCCUAUGAGGGCAAUGAAGUGGAAUGUGGUAGUUUAUUUAGAAAUGACCUCCAAACACUUAUGUGCAUGAAUGCUUGGCCAUAGGGAAUGGCACUAUUAGGAGGUGUGUCCUUGUUGAAUGAGGUGUGUCAUUGGGGGCAGGCUUUGAGGUAUUAUAAGCUGAAGUCUGGCUAUUGUGUCACUGUCUCUCCUUGCUGCCUGCAGAUGGAUCAAGAUAUAGAACUCUCAGCAACUUCUCCAGCAACAUGUCUGCCUAUAGACAUCCAUGUUUCCCAUCAUGAGGAUAAUGGACUGAACUUCUGAAACAAUUUCGGUGUCUUCCAAAAGCUGUGAUUCCUCAGUCAGUGUUCCCGCUCUAACAGACUUCGCUGUGUGUAGAUUUAACAGCUGUCUGCUUCCGUUUGUGUUAUGUAUCUUCGUGAGUUAGACGCAUGAUGUAGUCUGGAAGACAAACAGCGUUUUGCCAUCUCUUGCAUUGAAAAACUCAUUUGCAGACUAAUCUGUAGAUAUGGGGUGCACCCAAGUCUUAGAAUGGCACACGGUAUGCGAGGCUUUUCCUAUAUCUCACUUCUCAUCUGAGAUGUAGCCUAGAAGACCAAAAUGCCAGGGCAAGGUCCAACCUCAAAGACCCCUGUUGUGUGACUUUCUUUGGGGAGUUGCGAGUAAAGGUCUCUUUACCCCAGGGAAGUCACUAGUAAUGAACUAACGAAAGAAUUUCAUUGAAGUCCUUAGUGACCCAAUGAGUCUAGUGGACGAUGGAUGACUCAAAGGCAGCUGCAUUGCCAAGAAUAUUACCCCACUGGGGGGGAUGACUCCCAGAAACUGCAUCUGUGGAAUUCCCUGUGCCACCUGCAUGUGGCUCAGCUGCCUGGAAACUCUCCUCUCCCUAGCAACUUUUACUGUUUGUAUUCUCUGGGAGGGACCUUGUGAAUCUUGUAACCUCCAGGAGCUUCCUGAGACUUGUUGGAGUUUCUUCUUUAGUCUUAAGGGAUCUCCUUCCAAGAGUGACUGGCUCAAUUUAGGUAGAGAAAGGAGCUACACAACACCCCUUUGUCAUGAAGAGUUCAGAUGGCUAUGGAUGGUUUCAUCUAUUUGGGACAUUGCUUCAGAGACUUGAAAAUGAAGGUAGUAGAAGCAGCUUGGGGAGUUGAGUCUAAAAGUCUGGGUCUCAGAUCUCAGCCCUUACAGACCACAUUUUAGCAUCCAAGAAUUGGGGAACUCUUGGUCUUUUCAAAGCUCACCUUAAAGAUGGUCACCUCUAGGGUAGUGGUCAUUCUUACCUUCAGAAUUUUGAGGACCAAGGGACAUUCAAGUUUCAUUUCUUGAUGUGAUACCAUACCCAAACAAAAAGCUAGUUAGAGGAGAAAGGGAGGAGUUAUUUUUGCUUAUAGUUCUAUCAUUAUAGCAAGGUCACAACAGUGGAAGCAUGAAGCAACUAGCCACAUCACACCCAUAGACAAGAGCAAAAAGAAAUAGAUUUAAUGCAUACUUAGCUCGCAGCCAGAUUUCUGUACUCUUAGGCAGUCUAAGUUCAAAACCUGGGAAAACUGGAACCACCUACUUUCAGGCUGCAUUUUCCCACAUCAGUUAAGGCAAUCUCCCACAGACAUGCAUCAGGCCAACUUGAUCUAGGCAACCCCUCAUUGAAACUCUCCUCCCUGUGAUUCUAGACUCUGUCAAGUGCACAAUUAAAUCCAACCAUCAUGAGGAAGAUGGUACAUUGAACAUGUUCUCCUUGGAGAUACACAGUACAGCGAACACUGAAAAGUUCUGAUGAUCAAGAAUACCCUAUGCUUGCUCUAUCCAAUAGGUCCUUCUGUGAUGAUCACAACGUGGUCAACUGACAUUUUCCAGCCUUGUUCCUAUCAGUCGCAGGAAGCUGUCAAGCACUUGAAAGGUGGCGAGUGAGUAAGGGAUUGAACAAUUCUUAGAUUCAUUUAUCUGAUAACAGAUGUAAUUCCCUUCCUCAUGCUUGGCUGUAAGUAUCGAGUGCCGAUUGCUUGGUUGAUUGAUUGACUCAUUCAUUCAUUCACUCAUUCAUUCAUUCACUCAUUCAUUCAUUCACCCUCCCUCAGAUGUAGCAUCUGAACAUUGGAGAAAACCCAGGAAAACUAUCAAAAUCAGCUUCUUCAUAAUUAAACCCACAGCCUACUUUGCUUUUAACAAACGUUUGUGAUCCUUAGGCAUAUCACCAUGUAUUAAUUCCUAUGACUGGACAGCAAAUUGAUAUAAACUUUAGUGGAUUAAAUUUAUUAUUCUCAUG